AACAGGCCACGGCUAACUACGUGCCAGCAGCCGCGGUAAUACGUAGGUGGCGAGCGUUAUCCGGAUUUACUGGGUGUAAAGGGCGUGUAGGCGGUUUCGUAAGUCGGAUGUGAAAUUCCCAAGCUUAACUUGGGCGCUGCAUCCGAAACUGCAGAACUUGAGUACUGGAGAGGAUAGUGGAAUUCCUAGUGUAGCGGUAAAAUGCGUAGAUAUUAGGAGGAACAUCAGUGGCGAAGGCGACUAUCUGGACAGUAACUGACGCUGAGGCGUGAAAGCGUGGGGAGCAAACAGGAUUAGAUACCCUGGUAGUCCACGCCGUAAACGAUGGAUACUAGGUGUAGGGGGUAUCGACCCCCCCUGUGCCGGAGUUAACACA
rnacentral:rRNA from 1 species